UACGUAGGGUCCGAGCGUUGUCCGGAAUUACUGGGCGUAAAGGGUGUGUAGGCGGUUGGAUAAGUGUGGUGUGAAAUCUCCCGGCUCAACUGGGAGGGUGCGCUACAAACUGUCUGACUAGAGUGCGGGAUGGGAAAGUGGAAUUCCUGGUGUAGCGGUGAAAUGCGUAGAUAUCAGGAGGAACACCGGUGGUGUAGACGGCUUUCUGGACCGUAACUGACGCUGAAACACGAAAGCGUGGGUAGCAAACAGG
rnacentral:rRNA from 1 species